GCGGCUAGAUACCAGAUAUGUUGCGUAUAGACUGGUUAUACUAUAGCGCUGCUUCCGUCGCCAAUAACUUUGCUAUUUCGGGCCGUCUAAUUUGGGUCUGGUGACGCUGUGCUUUUAACGGCAACGUUGAUAGCAGAGAAUCAUCCAGCGCAGCACACUGCUACCAUCGUCGCCAUUGCCGCCACCGCCACCUCCACCAUCCGUAAUAAUCACUAAAACGGUGAGUUCAGUGGUGACGAGACUGGCAUUCAAGCAGUCUCCCGAAGGCACAAGUAUUAUUGCCGUACUACUGUCGCAAACGUUGGUUUUACAAUUCUUAAAGCUUGUAUGAAACAUCAGCUCCGAAUCAAGACCAUUUGCACAUGAGAACGCGAUCUAUGGGAACCGCAUUUUUAUAUCCGAAAAUACGUGACCGUCGGGAUGAGAUGAGAAUUCGACGGCGAAAUCGUCAGCAUGAGUUCAUUAAAAUAUGUUUAUAGUAAUAAGAAGAUGAUGUUAUCUUAGCCUUUUUGCAUCGGGCAAUACAACAGCCAACUUCAUCGUGAAGCUCCA